rnacentral:rRNA from 1 species
UGAGGAAUAUUGAGCAAUGGGCGAAAGCCAGACUCAGCAACGCCGCGUGGACGAUGAAGGCCUUCGGGUCGUAAAGUCCUUUUCAGGGGGACGAGGGAGGACGGUACCCCUGGAAUAAGUCACGGCUAACUACGUGCCAGCAGCCGCGGUAAAACGUAGGUGGCAAGCGUUAUCCGGAUUCACUGGGCGUAAAGCGCCUGCAGGCGGUCCUGUAAGUGGGACGUGAAAUCUCCCGGCUCAACUGGGAGAGGCCGUUCCAUACUGCGGGGCUUGAGGGCAGAAGAGGGAAGCGGAAUUCCCGGUGUAGUGGUGAAAUGCGUAGAUAUCGGGAGGAACACCAGUGGCGAAGGCGGCUUCCUGGCCUGCUCCUGACGCUAAGAGGCGAAAGCUAGGGGAGCGAACGGGAUUAGAGACCCCGGUAGUCCUAGCUGUAAACGAUGGAUACUAGGUGUCGGUGGUCCUAACCCCAUCGGUGCCGAAGCUAACGCGUUAAGUACCCCGCCUGGGGACUACGGCCGCAAGGUUA